UAAUAGCUGUGUACUACACAUCAAGUCCCA
rnacentral:piRNA from 1 species